UACGUAGGGUGCAAGCGUUGUCCGGAAUUAUUGGGCGUAAAGAGCUCGUAGGCGGUUUGUCGCGUCGGCUGUGAAAACUCGGGGCUCAACCCCGAGCCUGCAGUCGAUACGGGCAGACUAGAGGUAUGCAGGGGAGAACGGAAUUCCUGGUGUAGCGGUGAAAUGCGCAGAUAUCAGGAGGAACACCGGUGGCGAAGGCGGUUCUCUGGGCAUGACCUGACGCUGAGGAGCGAAAGUGUGGGGAGCGAACAGG
rnacentral:rRNA from 1 species